rnacentral:rRNA from 1 species
GGGUGCUACACUGCAGUCGACGAACUUCGGGUUAGUGGCGGACGGGUGAGUACGCGUGAGAAUCUGCCCUCAGGAGGGGGAUAACGGUUGGAAACGACCGCUAAUACCCCAUAUGCCUAUUGGUGAAAUGAAUUUCGCCUGAGGAUGAGCUCGCGUCUGAUUAGCUUGUUGGUGAGGUAAUGGCUCACCAAGGCUUCGAUCAGUAGCUGUUCUUAGAGGAUGAUCAGCCACAUUGGGACUGAGACACGGCCCAAACUCCUACGGGAGGCAGCAGUAGGGAAUAUUGCACAAUGGAGGAAACUCUGAUACAGCGAUGCCGCGUGAGUGAAGAAGGCCUUUGGGUUGUAAAGCUCUUUCAUCGGUGAGGAUAAUGACAGUAGCCGAAGAAGAAGGACCCGGCUAAUUCCGUGCCAGCAGCCGCGGUAAUACGGAAAGUCCUAGCGUUGUUCGGAAUUAUUGGGCGUAAAGGCCGCGCAGGCGGUUGGAUAGUAGACGUGAAGCCCGUGCUUAACCUAUGAACGCGUUUAUACUGCCAACUGAGACUAGAAGAGAAGGGGACUCCAGUGUAGAGGUGAAAUCGCAAU